rnacentral:rRNA from 1 species
UACGUAGGGUGCAAGCGUUGUCCGGAAUUACUGGGCGUAAAGGGCGCGUAGGCGGCCGUUUGCGUCGGAUGUGAAAGCCCGGGGCUCAACCUCGGAACGGCAUUCGAUACGGGACGGCUGGAGACCGGGAGAGGAGAGUGGAAUAGCCAGUGUAGAGGUGAAAUUCGUAGAUAUUGGCUGGAACACCGGUGGCGAAAGCACUCUGCUGGGCCGACACUGACACUGAGAGACGAAAGCUAGGGGAGCGAAUGGG